rnacentral:rRNA from 1 species
CUUGGUGGUGAGAGUGGCGAACGGGUGAGUAAUGCGUGACCGACCUGCCCUAGAGUGGGGGACAACAGACGGAAACGACUGCUAAUACCGAAUAAGUUCCAAGAGCCGCAUGGCCCAUGGAAGAAAAGGUGGCCUCUACCUGUAAGCUAUCGCCUGAAGAGGGGUUUGCUUCUGAUUAGCUGGUUGGAGGGGUAACGGCCCACCAAGGCGACGAUCAGUAGCCGGUCUGAGAGGAUGAACGGCCACACUGGAACUGAGACACGGUCCAGACUCC